rnacentral:precursor_RNA from 1 species
UUAAAAGCCCUUAGUGGGCACCCAUACCGCCGGAGACGGAAAUCCGUGAGGUAGGGUGAGGUGUGACAUUUUUUGGGUCGACAU